GGAAAAUUAGCCAUAGGUAAGGUGAAUUAUUUGCUAUAUAAUGAAUAUAAAUUUCUGAUGAGUUCGAUUCUCAUAUUUUCCG
rnacentral:tRNA from 1 species